rnacentral:rRNA from 1 species
GACGAACGCUGGCGGCGUGCUUAACACAUGCAAGUCGAGCGGUAAGGCCCUUUCGGGGGUACACGAGCGGCGAACGGGUGGGUAACACGUGGGUGACCUGCCCUCAGCUCUGGGAUAAGCCUGGGAAACCGGGUCUAAUACCGGAUAUGACUCCAUGACGCAUGUUGUGGGGUGGAAAGCCUUGUGCGGCUGAGGAUGGGCCCGCGGCCUAUCAGCUUGUUGGUGGGGUGANGGCCCACCAAGGCGACGACGGGUAGCCGGCCUGAGAGGGCGACCGGCCACACUGGGACUGAGACACGGCCCAGACUCCUACGGGAGGCAGCAGUGGGGAAUCUUGCGCAAUGGGCGAAAGCCUGACGCAGCGACGCCGCGUGAGGGAUGACGGCCU